rnacentral:rRNA from 1 species
GUUUGUUUGGAGUUAUAAAGAAUUUAACCUGCCCCCUGAUUAAUUAUUAAAGGGCCGCAGUAUUAUAACUGUGCAAAGGUAGCAUAAUCAUUAGGUUUUUAAUUGAAAUCUCGUAUGAAUGGUUGGACAAAAGAAAAACUCUCUUUAUAUUAAGUUUUGAAUUUAACUUUUAAGUGAAAAGGCUUAAAUGUCCUAAAGGGACGAUAAGACCCUAUAAAACUUUACAUUGUCAUUAAUUUUGAUUGAAUUUAUGAAAUAAGAAUUUUAUUUGGUUAUUUGUUAUGUUGGGGAGAUAUAAGUAAAAUAUUUUUUUAACUGCUUUGAUAGUUAUACAAUUAUAAAUGGUAAGUAGAAGAUCCUUUUUUAAGAUUAAUAGAUUAAGUUACUUUAGGGAUAACAGUGUGAUUUCUUUUGAGAGUUCUUAUCGAAAAAGAAGAUUGCAACCUCGAUGUUGAAUUAAAAUAUCUAUAUAAUGGAGAGGUUAUAUAAGAAGGUCUGUUCGACCUUGAAAUUUUUACAUGAUUUGAGUUCAAACCGGUGUAAG